GAUGAAGAACGCAGCGAAAUGCGAUAAGUAAUGUGAAUUGCAGAAUUCAGUGAAUCAUCGAAUCUUUGAACGCACCUUGCACCCUUUGGCAUUCCGAAGGGUAUGCUCGUUUGAGCGUCAUUGUACUCUCACACUUCCGAUCUUUGGAUUGGGAGCGGUGGACUUGGGUGUUGCUGCUUACUGUGGCUCACCUCAAAUCGAUUCGUGCACCUCUUGGUUGGACAUAGUACGGCGUGAUAAGUGUCUUCGCCGGCACCUCAGUAGAGGGUGGCUGAUCGGGAGCUCUGCUUCAAACCGUCCUCGGACAACAACUGACAACUUGACCUCAAAUCGAGUAGGACUACCCGCUGAACUUAAGCAUAUCAAUAAGCGGAGGA
rnacentral:misc_RNA from 1 species